GCUCACUGCGGGUAUCACGUUGCCAAGGGAACUAAUAAAGCAUACAGUGAUCGGAAUGAUUUUGUAUUGAUGCAGGUUGUCAUUGCUCAUGCUGAACUACUUAAACUCCAAGUAGACAAUCGCUCCAUUCCUCAUUACCAUAGAUAAUAUCUAAGUAAUAAAACAAUCAUUAUCAAAUUCUGAUUUGCCAUAGAUAAAGUGAUUUUAUAGGUAGGCUAUCAUGUAAAAAUCUGCUACAUAAAAUUUAUAACUGAGUGUAAAAAUACUUAUUUCAUUUUCAUGUGGUUUAGAGGUCAGCUAUGGAUACUCGGCUGCGAGAAUUCUUAACAGAGCGUAAAGCUGAAGAAAAUGUGAUCAAGAAACUUGAAGAUGAGAAUAUUGAUGAAACUGUCAUUCCCUUAAUGACAGACAAUGACCUGGCAAAGUACAUCCCCAAAGUUGGCGAUAGAGUCUCCACUGUGGCCUUCUGCAGACAAGCAACACUGUCACAGACGUCACCAUCCAGGAAAGAAUCUAUACUCUCAAGGCUACGACAAAGACUGACAGGAGCUGAGGGGAUGCCUCCUAAAAAGAAAUUGUCUCAGUGGGCAGAAAAUACAAAUGCAAAACAAACAGUGAGACGAAUUGA